rnacentral:rRNA from 1 species
AGAGUUUGAUCAUGGCUCAGGAUGAACGCUAGCGGUCGGCCUAACACAUGCAAGUCGAGCGGCAGCAGCACUCUUCGCAAGAAGAGUGGCUGGCGAGCGGCGAACGGGUGAGUAACGCGUAGGUAACCUGCCCCUAGGUGGGGGAUAGCUCGGGGAAACCUGAGGUAAUACCCCAUAGUAUCACCGGAUGGCAUCAUCUUGUGAUUAAAGGCUUCGGUCGCCUAGGGAUGGGCCUGCGUCCCAUCAGGUAGUUGGUGAGGUAACGGCUCACCAAGCCUACGACGGGUAGCCGGUCUGAGAGGAUGAUCGGCCACACUGGCACUGAGACACGGGCCAGACUCCUACGGGAGGCAGCAGUGAGGAAUAUUGGACAAUGGGCGAAAGCCUGAUCCAGCCAGACCGCGUGGGGGAUGAAGGCCUUAGGGUCGUAAACCCCUUUUGUCGGGGAAGAAACCUACGGACGUGUCCGUAGCUGACGGUACCCGACGAAUAAGCACCGGCUAACUCCGUGCCAGCAGCCGCGGUAAUACGGAGGGUGCAGGCGUUAUCCGGAUUCACUGGGCUUAAAGGGUCCGUAGGCGGUGUGGUAAGUCAGAGGUGAAAUCCUGCGGCUUAACCGUAGAACUGCCUUUGAUACUGCCACACUUGGAUGU